GGGUGCCUCAGGGGAAAAACCGGGACCGUGAGCCCCCUCCCCACGCCUCUCGCGUCCGUGUUCAGGAGCCUGGCUGCCACUGCCUAGCCCUGCCUGCCGGGACACCUCACAGCUCCUGCUACAGCUGCGGAGUUUCUGAUAGAUUUCAUUCACGACUCUGGGAUCUGCUCGUCCCGGCUGCUGCUCCGAGGUUCCUGCUGCAGCCCUGAACCUCUGUCAGGCCCGCCCGCCAUCAGCACGUGAGGGAGCGGCGGCUGAGCCCGCGCCACAGCGCCCCCUGCAGGCGCGGGGGAAUCACAGCACCCGCCCUGGCCUGCCCGGAGCCAGCAGCGCCCCUGGCGGCCGUGCCCGGAACUGCAGCAAGGGGAAAGCGCCGCAGCCAGGAGAGGCUGGACUGGGAUUGUGCUCGGUUUGGUGCCAGUGCCAGAGCUGGGAGAAAUGCUUUGCUCAAGACUUUAAGGGAACAUCCCUCAGAAGAGAAUUGUUUGUGUUUUGGUGAGAAGAACCUGAUUUCCUCCAUGGCACAUUAAACAAUUCAUCAUCCUA